GAUGAACGUUGGCGGCGUGCCUAACACAUGCAAGUCGUGCGAGAAAGUUCCUUCGGGGACGAGUAAAGCGGCGCACGGGUGAGUAACACGUAGGUAACCUGCCCCACAGUCUGGAACAACUCGAGGAAACUUCAGCUAAUGCCGGAUAAGACCACGGUCCCCCCGGGGUCUGUGGCCACAGAUGGCCUCUGCUUGCAAGCUAUCGCCGAGGGAGGGGCCUGCGGGUCACUAGCUAGUUGGUGAGGUAACGGCUCACCAAGGCAGUGAUGACUAGCGGGUCUGAGAGGAUGACCAGCCACACUGGGACUGAGACACGGCCCAGACUCCUACGGGAGGCAGCAGUGGGGAAUAUUGCGCAAUGGACGAAAGUCUGACGCAGCGACGCCGCGUGGGUGAUGAAGGCCUUCGGGUCGUAAAGCCCUGUCGCAGGGGAAGAACAAGCCUCGGGAUAAUACCCCGGGGCCCUGACGGUACCCUGUAAGAAAGCACCGGCUAACUCCGUGCCAGCAGCCGCGGUAA
rnacentral:rRNA from 1 species